UCCCCCUCGUGGUUGGGGGCUCUUACAUGGUAUUUGACGGGUCGGGCUCGGAUGUGCGCAUUUCCGGACCUUAAGUUGUAUCUAUUGCACCGGGGACUGGGUACUCCCAUACCUCGCUGAGGUGUGCCUUCGGUCCGGGACUGUGUGGAGUACCAGGGUGGCCGGCACCCACUUGCUGCAGAGGCAGUUGGGCACCAGGCAGGUGUAGUGUGGGUCCCUUGGGACUCAGUCGGACAUCAAAGUGUCGGGGUGCUGUCCGACUCGGCUAGGGGAUGCCACAGGUAGUGGGUCCGGCAGCCACAAGCAAGUCUGUUUUCUCACUGACUCUGUCUCCUCCCGCAGCUCGCCUCGUCGGAGCCCACCGUCCCCGAAGGUGCGUGCACGGACCACUUGGACUCCGUGUCUUGGCCAAGGCUUAGGGUCAGACUUCAGGCUCCCUCCUUCCUGCACCGACCCAUUUCUUCUCCUCCAGAGAGGUUCAGAGGCCGAAGCUGAGCCUCCCACAGAA
rnacentral:lncRNA from 1 species